UACGUAGGGGGCCAGCGUUGCUCGGAAUUACUGGGCGUAAAGGGUUCGUAGGCGGUGUGGCAAGUCGGAAGUGAAAUCUCUGGGCUUAACUCAGAGGCUGCUCCCGAAACUGCCGUGCUAGAGUGCGGGAGAGGCCAGUGGAGUUGCAGGUGUAGCGGUGAAAUGCGUAGAUAUCUGCAGGAACACCCGUGGCGAAGGCGGCCGGCUGGACCGCAACUGACGCUGAGGAACGAAAGCUAGGGGAGCAAACAGG
rnacentral:rRNA from 1 species